rnacentral:lncRNA from 1 species
UGUUCCUGGAAGCCGGGGAAGGAACUUUGGUGAGGGGCAUGGAAGGUUGGAUCUCGGGCAGAUUCGCUCUGCGGGGUGUGAGCUGCUCUUGGAGACCUGCCGGGAUCAGUGGCUGCCAAGACAGCUGGCAUCUGCCACCCCUGAAGGCCAGUGACCUGGCAGACAGGAAGCAGGGGGUCAGGGCCGUUGCCCUACUCCUCCACGUGGCACUUACUGGUCUCCGAUUCCCAAGGACAGCGAUGCUUC